CCUACGGGUGGCAGCAGUGGGGAAUAUUGGACAAUGGGGGAAACCCUGAUCCAGCGACGCCGCGUGAGUGAAGAAGUAUUUCGGUACGUAAAGCUCUAUCAUCAGGAAAGAAAAUGACGGUACCUGACUAAGAAGCCCCGGCUAACUACGUGCCAGCAGCCGCGGUAAUACGUAGGGGGCAAGCGUUAUCCGGAUUUACUGGGUGUAAAGGGAGCGUAGACGGCAGCGCAAGUCUGGAGUGAAAUGCCGGGGCUCAACCCCGGAACUGCUCUGGAAACUGUGAAGCUGGAGUGCAGGAGAGGUAAGCGGAAUUCCUGGUGUAGCAGUGAAAUGCGUAGAUAGCAGGAGGAACACCGGCGGCGAAGGCGACUUACUGGAAUGUAACUGACGUUGAGGCUCGAAGGCGUGGGGAGCAAACAGGAUUAGAUACCCCUGUAGUC
rnacentral:rRNA from 1 species